rnacentral:rRNA from 1 species
UACGUAGGGUGCGAGCGUUGUCCGGAAUUAUUGGGCGUAAAGGGCUCGUAGGCGGUUUGUCGCGUCGGGAGUGAAAUCCACUGGCUUAACUGGUGGCUUGCUUUCGAUACGGGCAGACUGGAGGUAUGCAGGGGAGAACGGAAUUCCUGGUGUAGCGGUGAAAUGCGCAGAUAUCAGGAAGAACACCUAUGGCGAAGGCAGCUCUCUGGGACGGUACUGACGCUGAGACGCGAAAGCGUGGGGAGCGAACAGG